GACGAACGCUGGCGGCGUGCUUAACACAUGCAAGUCGAACGGAAAGGCCCUUCUUUUGUGGGGUGCUCGAGUGGCGAACGGGUGAGUAACACGUGAGUAACCUGCCCUUGACUUUGGGAUAACUUCAGGAAACUGGUGCUAAUACCGGAUAGGAGCUCCUGCUGCAUGGUGGGGGUUGGAAAGUUUCGGCGGUUGGGGAUGGACUCGCGGCUUAUCAGCUUGUUGGUGGGGUAGUGGCUUACCAAGGCUUUGACGGGUAGCCGGCCUGAGAGGGUGACCGGCCACAUUGGGACUGAGAUACGGCCCAGACUCCUACGGGAGGCAGCAGUGGGGAAUAUUGCACAAUGGGCGGAAGCCUGAUGCAGCAACGCCGCGUGCGGGAUGACGGCCUUCGGGUUGUAAACCGCUUUCGCCUGUGACGAAGCGUGAGUGACGGUAAUGGGUAAAGAAGCACCGGCUAACUACGUG
rnacentral:rRNA from 1 species